CGAGGAAGAUGUCACAGCCGUGAGCGUGAUGCUGUAGAGGUUGGUGACGAAGACCUCCCAGCCACGACGAAAUGCUCUGUCCAAGGCCUGAUGGGAACAAGAGCGUAAAGCUUAGCUGGGUCAGAAAUAUAAACAACUUGCAAAUUUGCUCCAAUGAAGAAUAUCCAACCAGCUCUGCUCAGACAACUGUGCAGACCACUUACCAAGCUGCAUCAGUGCAUAGAUGAGGCCCAGCAGCGAGACCAUGAAGUAGAGCACAAACACA